rnacentral:rRNA from 1 species
AUUGAACGCUGGCGGUAUGCUUAAGACAUGCAAGUCGAACGGUAACAGGUUAAGCUGACGAGUGGCGACGAGUGAGUAACGCGUGGGAAUCUAACCUUGUAGUGGGGGAUAAGCCAGGGAAACUUGGACUAAUACCGCAUACGCCCUAAGGGGAAAGGCGCAAGUCGCUAUAAGAUGAGCCCGCGUCUGAUUAGGUAGUUGGUGGGGUAAAGGCCUACCAAGCCGACGAUCAGUAGCUGGUCUGAGAGGAUGAUCAGCCACGUCGGGACUGAGACACGGCCCGGACUCCUACGGGAGGCAGCAGUCGGGAAUAUUGGACAAUGGGGGAAACCCUGAUCCAGCAAUACCGCGUGUGUGAAGAAGGCCUGCGGGUUGUAAAAGCACUUUCAGUUGGGAAGAUAAUGACGUUACCAACAGAAGAAGCACCGGCUAACUCCGUG